CAGAGGGUGCGAGCGUUGUUCGGAAUUACUGGGCGUAAAGCGCGCGCAGGCGGUUCUUUAAGUCUACCCGUGAAAUGCCGGAGCUCAACUCCGUGCACGCCGGGGGAUACUGGAGAACUGGAGACAGGUAGAGGCAGGCGGAAUUCCGGGUGUAGCGGUGGAAUGCGUAGAGAUCCGGAAGAACACCAGAGGCGAAGGCGGCCUGCUGGGCCUUGUCUGACGCUGAGGCGCGAAAGCGUGGGGAGCGAACAGGAUUAGAUACCCUGGUAGUCCACGCCGUAAACGAUGGGCACUGGGCGCGGGUGGGAUCGACCCCUUCCGUGCCGUAGCUAACGCGAUAAGUGCCCCGCCUGGGGGGUACGGCCGCAAGGCUG
rnacentral:rRNA from 1 species